GACGAACGCUGGCGGCGUGCUUAACACAUGCAAGUCGAACGGUCAAGCUCCAGCUUUCUGCAGUGGAUCAGUGCCGAACGGGUGUGUAACACGUGAGCAACCUGCCCCUGUCUCUCUGAUAAGCCCUCGAAACAGCGUCUCAUACUGGAUACGAGAAGGUUCCGCAUGGGCACUUUCUGUAAAGUUUUUCGGUUGUGGAUGGGCUCGCGGCCUAUCAGCUUGUUGGUGUGGUAAUGGCUCUCCAAGGCUACGACGGGUAGCCUGCCUGAGAGGGGUACCGGCCACAAGAGGACUGAGAGAGGGACCAGAAUGAUAAGGGAGGCAGCAGGGGGGAAUAUGGCACAGUGGGCGAAAGCCUGAGGCAGAGACGCCGAGAGAGGGAUGACCGCCUUCGGGGGGUAAACAAAUGUGAGAAGGAAAGAAGAGAAAGUGACGGUACCUGCAGAAGAAGCACCGGCUAACUACGUG
rnacentral:rRNA from 1 species